rnacentral:rRNA from 1 species
CACAUAGGGGGCAAGCGUUGUCCGGAUUUAUUGGGCGUAAAGAGCUCGUAGGCGGUUCGGUAAGUCGGGUGUGAAAACUCUGGGCUCAACUCAGAGACGCCACCCGAUACUGCUGUGACUUGAGUCUGGUAGGGGAGUUUGGAAUUCCCGGUGUAGCGGUGAAAUGCGCAGAUAUCGGGAGGAACACCAGUGGCGAAGGCGGCACUCUGGGCCAGUACUGACGCUGAGGAGCGAAAGCGUGGGGAGCGAACAGG